CACUUUGCAUUAAAAAUACAACUUGUAUAAUUUAAACGACACAUAGAUGGCGUCGUAAACAUUAAGUAAAUGUCUGCCACGUAUAAUUUGUCAAAGUUUGUCAAUACAACAAUUUCAUUCUCGCCGUUCAUUCGUGUUAAAUUUACUGCAACGAAAAGUAGUUGAAAUUUCGCUAAUAAAAACCCGCCAUGGAUAAAGUUGUUAAAUUCUGUGAACCUGGUCGCGCUUUCGCCAAGGACUCCAUCCGUUUGGUAAAACGUUGCACCAAACCUGAUCGCAAAGAAUUCCAAAAGAUCGCCAUUGCCACCGCUAUUGGCUUCUGUAUUAUGGGAUUCAUCGGUUUCUUCGUUAAGCUGAUCCACAUCCCCAUCAACAACAUCAUUGUGGGCUCAUAAAUUUCAAAUAGACGUUUUUAUACCUCAAGGCUGUAUCAGCUUAUGUUUGUAUCAUCAUCGUCUAUUUCUUUUUUUAUGUAUGUUAAUAUUUUUUAAGUUCCACAUCCACAAAAUAUAAGAAAAUUUAUUAA